UACGAAGGGGGGCUAGCGUUGCUCGGAAUCACUGGGCGUAAAGGGUGCGUAGGCGGGUCUUUUAAGUCAGGGGUGAAAUCCUGGAGCUCAACUCCAGAACUGCCUUCGAUACUGGAGAGCUUGAGUCCGGGAGAGGUGAGUGGAACUGCGAGUGUAGAGGUGAAAUUCGUAGAUAUUCGCAAGAACACCAGUGGCGAAGGCGGCUCACUGGCCCGAUACUGACGCUGAGGCACGAAAGCGUGGGGAGCAAACAGG
rnacentral:rRNA from 1 species